AGUUCUGGCAAAGAGAUUUGCAGAGUGUCAGGUGACCGGCAAAGAGAUCUGCAAAGUGUCAGUUGAAGAUGACGGGAGGGAUCGCAGAGGAAUUAGUGACUGGAGAAUAGCAUGCAGGGGCCCCGUCCGCUUGCAGCACCGUUGGGCGAUAUGUGAGCGGGUCUCCCCCGACUGGAACGCAAGCUGGAAGUUGCUUAGCACCAUCCGCCUGUGCUUACCCGGAAGUGAGGUACCUGCGGACAUCCAGCGGUUGCGGCAGUGAAAGAUGGAGGCGACGGGAAGACUGUCCUGGUAUCAGCAGGUAUUAAGGCACAAACCAGAGUGGGGUCACAGUCCCGUCCUGUGAAGUGGCAGUAUCGGAUUGGAUCGUGAGCGGAGUGCAAGCGGAGCCUGGUGGGAAGAAGGAGGGGUGAAAAAAGAGUUGAAAAGAAGCCACAGUGCAGGCGCGAAUUGAGCAGUGGAGCAGGAAAGCUGAAUGGUGUGAGGCUGGUGGUCACAAAGGGCAAUGGAGAGCAGCACUGCAGAACUAAGGCAGCGGGGUACUUCCAGCUGGUGAAGAGAACCGAGAGAGUAGGCGUGAGACAUUGCAUCUGGUAACCAAACACAGCUAGGCCUAGGAUGAGGCAUGGAUGUCACGGCCAUCUUGAGAGAGCAGAAACCACAUAGAAAGGACCAAUGAGAGAGCGGUAUAACUUGAGAGGUUUGGAGUGAGUAACAGAAACUCCUCUGAGGCAGUUGCCAUUUUGGGAGGGACGUUUUCAAUACAGAGCUGCAGGAAGACGGAGGACAGCAGCAGAACAGCGGGGAUGGAGGCGGUCAGGCAGCGGCAUGAGCAUCCCAUGCCCUACUGAAAGCAGCAGCAAUGGGGGAGAAAAGAAAGGAAUCCCCUGACAACGAGCAGAACCCCUGCCCUGCUAACUAACAGGUACCUGCAUAAUUAUUGUGUGGCCAUAAUAUGGUGUCAGGGGCAUUACUGUGGAGACUUAAUAUGGUGCAAGGGGCAUAAAAUGGUGUUGCUCUGUGUCUGUA